CCUACGGGUGGCAGCAGUGAGGAAUAUUGGUCAAUGGGCGUAAGCCUGAACCAGCCAAGUCGCGUGAGGGAUGAAGGUUCUAGGGCUCGUAAACCUCUUUUAUAAGGGACUAUAGUGUGGGACGUGUCCUAUUUUGUAUGUACCUUAUGAAUAAGGAUCGGCUAACUCCGUGCCAGCAGCCGCGGUAAGACGGAGGAGCCGAGCGUUAUCCGGAUUUAUUGGGUUUAAAGGGUGCGUAGGCGGCCUUUUAAGUCAGCGGGGAAAGUCUGUGGCUCAACCAGAGAAUUGCGGUUGAAACUGGGGGGCUGGAGUGUGGUUGAGGCAGGCGGAAUGUGUGGUGUAGCGGUGAAAUGCUUAGAUAUCACGCAGAACCCCGAUUGCGAAGGCAGCCUGCCAAGCCAUGACUGACGCUGAUGCACGAAAGCGUGGGGAUCAAACAGGAUUAGAUACCCGGGUAGUC
rnacentral:rRNA from 1 species